rfam:Strongylocentrotus purpuratus Contig14948_fixed, whole genome shotgun sequence.
ACGUCGGCUAUGCAUUGUGGAUACUUCGUUCGGAUUUUUGUCUAAAUACCUCGCACAAGCGAGCUCUGGCCAAAACUCACGUACCCGUCUGGGUUCGAGUCUUGGCCGUUCCACACGCGCCAUCCGACAAUUUU